rnacentral:rRNA from 1 species
AGAGAGAGACAUGCGCGCAUAUCAAUAAGCGGAGGAAAAGAAACUAACAAGGAUUCCCCUAGUAACGGCGAGUGAAGCGGGAAGAGCUCAAAUUUGAAAUCUUAAAGGGUUUCCCUUUACGAAUUGUAGUUUAAAGAGGUGUUUUCUGUUGAGGUUUUGGUAAAAGUUCUUUGGAAUAGGACAUCAUAGAGGGUGAGAAUCCCGUAUUUGACCUUUACUUUCAACCUUUGUGAUACACUUUCAAAGAGUCGGAUUGUUUGGGAAUGCAGUCCAAAAUGGGUGGUAAAUUUCAUCUAAAGCUAAAUAUUGGCGAGAGACCGAUAGCGAACAAGUACCGUGAGGGAAAGAUGAAAAGAACUUUGAAGAGAGAGUUAAACAGUACGUGAAAUUGUCAAAAGGGAAGCGUUUGACACCAGUGUUGUUUUUCUGAAAAUCAAUUAAAGAACUGUUUAUGCUAAGUUGUUUAGACUUUAUCAGCUAACUGUUUAGUUUUGAGCUUUUCUUUAAUGCACUUUUCAGUUAACAAGUCAACAUCAAUUUCUUUUGCUGUAAAAAAGCUUGAGGAAGGUGGCUUGAGAUUCGUCUUAAGUGUUUAUAGCCUCUUGCCUAUGCAGUCGGAGAGAUUGAGGUCUGCAGCGUAGAUCCUUCGGGGCUAAAUGCAUUUGUGCUAAGUUAUAGCAUUUUAUAGACAACUUGUUGACUAUGAUUUGUCUUGUAGCUUACUCGCUUAUGUUAUUUUACCUACGCUUAGGAUGUUGACGCAUGAGAUAUACGC